rnacentral:rRNA from 1 species
UUGAAAGGGAAACGAUUGAAGUCAGUCGUACCUGCGGAUAAUCAGCCUUUAGGAUGCGAUUUUGUGGAGUGUGAGGAGCUAAUCGCCUUCAUGCCUGUAUAUUCGUGUACUUGGGGUGUACUUAUUCGUGUGGUAAGUUAACAUCAAUUUUGGUCGUCAUAAAAUGACUAGAGGAAUGUAGCUUCGAUCUCGUAUUGAAGUGUUAUAGCCUUUGGUAGAUGUGAUUAUCGGGAUUGAGGAUUGCAACGGAUACCCUUCGGGGCUACUUGUCUGAUCUCUGAUCGUUGCUCUGGUGCCGAAAGCGUGCUUACGGUUAUCAAAGUCGAUGGUUAAUAGGUUAGAACGGGUUAAAUUCGUUAAGGAUGUUGACGUA